rnacentral:misc_RNA from 1 species
UCCGAGUUGACCCCGGCAGUCUCCCGUGAGUCCCCAACCUAAUGCUGGCAACAUGGAACGAGGGUUGCGCUCGUUGCGGGACUUAACCCAACAUCUCACGACACGAGCUGACGACGGCCAUGCAGCACCUGUCUUACAGUUCCCGAAGGCACCAAUCCAUCUCUGGAAAGUUCUGUAGAUGUCAAGGCCAGGUAAGGUUCUUCGCGUUGCGUCGAAUUAAUCCGCAUGCUCCGCCGCUUGUGCGGGCCCCCGUCAAUUCCUUUGAGUUUUAGCCUUGCGGCCGUACUCCCCAGGCGGGGCGCUUAAUGCGUUAGCUACGGCACGGACCCCGUGGAAGGGAACCCACACCUAGCGCCCAACGUUUACGGCAUAGACUAC